rnacentral:rRNA from 1 species
UACGUAGGUGGCAAGCGUUGUCCGGAAUUAUUGGGCGUAAAGCGCGCGCAGGCGGUCCCUUAAGUCUGAUGUGAAAGCCCACGGCUCAACCGUGGAGGGUCAUUGGAAACUGGGGGACUUGAGUGCAGAAGAGGAAAGUGGAAUUCCAUGUGUAGCGGUGAAAUGCGUAGAGAUGUGGAGGAACACCAGUGGCGAAGGCGACUUUCUGGUCUGUAACUGACGCUGAGGCGCGAAAGCGUGGGGAUCAAACAGG